rnacentral:rRNA from 1 species
GAUGAACGCUGGCGGCGUGCCUAAUACAUGCAAGUCGAGCGAACAGAUAAGGAGCUUGCUCCUUUGACGUUAGCGGCGGACGGGUGAGUAACACGUGGGUAACCUACCUAUAAGACUGGGAUAACUUCGGGAAACCGGAGCUAAUACCGGAUAACAUUUGGAACCGCAUGGUUCUAAAGUGAAAGAUGGUUUUGCUAUCACUUAUAGAUGGACCCGCGCCGUAUUAGCUAGUUGGUAAGGUAACCGCUUACCAAGGCAACGAUACGUAGCCGACCUGAGAGGGUGAUCGGCCACACUGGAACUGAGACACGGUCCAGACUCCUACGGGAGGCAGCAGUAGGGAAUCUUCCGCAAUGGGCGAAAGCCUGACGGAGCAACGCCGCGUGAGUGAUGAAGGGUUUCGGCUCGUAAAACUCUGUUAUUAGGGAAGAACAAACGUGUAAGUAACUGUGCACGUCUUGACGGUACCUAAUCAGAAAGCCACGGCUAACUACGUG